rnacentral:misc_RNA from 1 species
CUUCUGGACAGCUACAUUCUUUGUUUGCCAAUUCAGAACUUAUUCAGCUUGAGUAAUCGGGGUUAUUUGACUUUCAUUAUCAACCUUGGUUGAAUGAAUGAAAGGUCUGGUAGAGAUUUUAGUCAGUUGGUCUGUUUGUUGAGCUAAUGGAGCGAAAUCUGCUUCAUGAGAGGCAGGAGAGAACAUCAUAUAGGGUUGCACAAGGGGUAAUGCAGGGGGAAGAGAAGAAACUGGUUUAGGAGGAGGUUGUUUCCUUUCUUCUUUUCUGAUGAUCUCGAGGGCAAGCUCAAAAAUGGGAAGAGGUUUCUUCUGUUUGGUUUCUUCAUGGAUGCCAAUCCAUGGGCUAUUAUCUGGAUAAUCUCUUCUGAGAACUUGCUGAGGUUUGCAAGAGGCCUUCUUGGUCUUCUUAGUAAUCUUCUUCCAGUUUUUAUCAGAUAAAUGAUGGUCAUAUUCAUUUUUCCAGUAGUUAUCACAACAGUCACAGUCUUCAUAACACAUUUCAGAUCCUGGGAGAUCCCAGGGGCAGUGACCGUCUAUCUUCUGAGGAUAGAUAUAGUGUUUAUCAGGGGUUACCGCUCCAAUGGGAAAAUCUUCUUGCUCCUUUUCUAACGGCUGGACCAUCAUGGUUUGUAAC